CUUACCUAUUAAGUAUAAUACUGAAAAACUCUGAAAAUAAUUUCAAUGAGUAAUAUAACAGCAGUAUGUAUGAUACAUUUUUAUUAUUAUAUAUCUAUAACCUCAUAUUAGGUUUAUGUAUUAAGCUAGAUAUUCAAGUCUAGGAACUAAUUCAAAUAGCUUUCCGAAGUAUAACAAGUGCUAGCUUCCCAAGUGGAUCUGUUCUGUACUGUAGAUUCUAGUCCCAUUGCUAGCAAAGUAGAAAAUGCUUUGUGGUUGCCACUAGAGGGCAAAUAGCCUCCUGGACUUCUCUUUGACCAAGGAGCAUCUCUCCAGGCAGCCAAAGUUUCAGUGUCUCAUAAACCUAGUUUUAAUUCUGGCAUUGCCAACGUCUAGUCAACCCAGUCUCAGCAAGCUAAGAACUUUUUAAGUCAAGACUUAAAUGUGCUCUUUUACCAUUUUACCAAAUGGACAGAUCUUUUGCCUGAGUGCACUAACUCCUGACCUUCUUAUCCUAACCCUUUCCAAUCUAAAUCUUAAACCUCACUGCUCUGCCACUUAGGUGAGCUAAUAUCAUAGCGUUCUUAGAUCUCAGAGUGGCCCAAGACACCCUUUCCAAUCUGACCAAUCUCUGCUUACCUCUCCAAUCUCAUCUCCUACUGCUCUCUGAUACUCCCUCUGCCUUGUACCACUUUACAAUUGUUGGCAGGUCCUUAAACAUACCACAUCAUUCCAUACUCCCAUUCAGGCUAUUUCCUCUACCUGGGAUGCUGGCAUUAUCCACCACAUGUUUUUGAAGACUUGGUUCAGAUAUCACCUGUGAGAAGCCUUACAGUCUCUGCUGAUCCCUUUCUUCCCCUUCUUCUUUUUCCUAAGCAAUAGAUUUAGUGUCUCCCUUCUCUCUACUCCUCCAGCAUCUUGCACACCCCUCUGUUAACAAUGCUAACUCUACUUACUAUUGGGAUUAUGUUUGGCAGAGUAUGAACAUUCAGUCUCAACUGUUUUGUCUUUUCUUUUUUUUAUUAGAAAUUGUUAGGCAUUCUGAAAGGAUGAAAUAUGAACACCCCCUCUCCUGUCCAGGAUGCAGAUUCCAACAAUUGUGGGUUUUGAAUACUCUGCUCUUUCUGCCUUUAAAAAGGAGGUACAGGAUUUCUGCUGAUGAAAAAUUGGAUGUCAUUGCUAAUUAAAAGAAAUAUUUGGAAUCUGGAGAGACCGAGGAAGACUGGAAAAGGUUUUGAGAGGCCAAACAUUACUGCCCAGAGUCAAAGAAAGUGUGAAAGUACAGCCACUGUCACCGCCAGGAGGUGUCCCAGGAGGGGCACUGUUGAAAUGUGCCCGAGCCCUAAUGAACUAACUCUUCGCAGCUCCCAAGAGAGGACCAUCUAGUUGAAUCAGAUUCCUGCCUUUACUAGACAAAUAAUCAUGGGGUAUGAUUCUCAGCAUGAUUAAGUAUUUUAGUUUAGUUAUUUUUUUCCCAAGCACAAACACACAACUCCUCAAAGCUAUCAAAGAACAUUGAACACAAGAAGUAUCUGAGAAAUCAUCCCAGGCAAGAGACAUGGCAACUAAAGGUAAUGUGGUAUUCUGAGUGGGAUCCUAGAACAGAAAAAGAGUAUUACCUGAAAACUAAGGAAAUGUGAAUAAAGUGUAGACUUUUGUUAAUAAUAAUUAUCAGGGUUGGUUCAUUAAUUAUAAUUUUUUAUAUAUAUAUAUAUAUAUAUAUAUAUAUAUAUAUAUAUAUAUAUAUAUAUAUAUCAUAUGAAAGUAAGAUACUACCACCAGGGGAAACAGUGCAUGGGGUUUAUGGAAUUUUCUGUAUUCUCUUACCCAAUGUCUCUGUAAAUCUAAAAGUGCUCUAAACAUUAAAGUUUAUGAAGAAUAAACAAGGAGGAGAAGGAGGAGGAAAAAGAGAAGGGG
rnacentral:lncRNA from 1 species